rnacentral:sRNA from 1 species
CAUCUCCACCACCUGAUCAUAACUCGAUCACACCACUCGACCCCCAGAUCGAGUACCUCCAUCACCUUCACUCCAUCACUCACUCGAUUACACGACCGAGUCCCACCAUCAUCACACACUCGACAGAUCACUCUACCACCAAGCCGAGUACUACCAUCUCCAUCACUCGACUUCAUACUCGACUGGCAGCUUCAGAGUCUUCUCUAUUCCGCACUCAACCAGACACUCGAGCGCAAGGAAGAAAAGAAGACUCCAGCUUAUCACUCGACCAUUCACUCGGCAACCUGGGUCGAGUAUCGUUCUUAAUCCGUCACAAUACUGCGUCGUUUUGAGUAUUAGGGUUUCGGUAUAUUUCCCUAUAAGUAGCAUGUAUUUCAC